rnacentral:rRNA from 1 species
UGGGGAAUAUUGCACAAUGGGGGAAACCCUGAUGCAGCGACGCCGCGUGAGCGAAGAAGGUUUUCGAAUCGUAAAGCUCUGUCCUAUGAGAAGAUAAUGACGGUAUCAUAGGAGGAAGCCCCGGCUAAAUACGUGCCAGCAGCCGCGGUAAUACGUAUGGGGCGAGCGUUGUCCGGAAUUAUUGGGCGUAAAGGGUACGUAGGCGGUCUAUUAAGUCAGGUGUGAAAGCGUGAGGCUUAACCUCAUUAAGCACUUGAAACUGAUAGGCUUGAGUGAAGGAGAGGAAAGUGGAAUUCCUAGUGUAGCGGUGAAAUGCGUAGAUAUUAGGAGGAAUACCGGUGGCGAAGGCGACUUUCUGGACUUUUACUGACGCUCAGGUACGAAAGCGUGGGGAGCAAACAGG